rnacentral:misc_RNA from 1 species
GAUGAAGAACGUAGCGAAAUGCGAUACGUAAUGUGAAUUGCAAAUUCAGUGAAUCAUCGAGUCUUUGAACGCACAUUGCGCCCCCUGGUAUUCCGGGGGGCAUGCCUGUCCGAGCGUCAUUGCUGCCCUCAAGCACGGCUUGUGUGUUGGGCCCCGUCCUCCGAUUCCGGGGGACGGGCCCGAAAGGCAGCGGCGGCACCGCGUCCGGUCCUCGAGCGUAUGGGGCUUUGUCACCCGCUCUGUAGGCCCGGCCGGCGCUUGCCGAUCAACCCAAAUUUUUAUCCAGGUUGACCUCCGAUCAGGUAGGGAUACCCGCUGAACUUAAGCAUAUCAAUAAGCGGAGGA